CUUCCUGGGGACAGGAGGCAACACGUUCGGAAACGACUGCUCUUUUCCCCAUGAACCGAAAGGGAAAAUAUUUAUAGCCUGAAGAUGAGCUCGCGUCCGAUUAACUAGUUGGGGGGGUAAGAGCCCACCACGGCGACGAUCGGUAGCUGGUCUGACAGGACGAUCAUCCACCCUGGGACUGAUACACCGCCCCCACUCCUACUGGAGGCAGCAGUGGGGAAUUUUCCUCAAUGGGGGAAAGCCUGACGGAGCAACACCGCGUGGGGGAAGAAGGCUCUUGGGUUGUAAACCCCUUUUCUCUGGGAAGAAAGUUGUGAAACCAACCUGACGGAACCAGAAGAAUCUGCAUCUGCUAACUCCGUGCCAGCAGCCGCGGUAAUACGGAGGAUGCAAGCGUUAUCCGGAAUGAUUGGGCGUAAAGCGUCCUCAGGUGGCAGUUCAAGUCUGCUGUCGAAUACCGGGGCUUAACUUCGGAAAGGCAGCGGAAACUGAACACCUAAAGUAUGGAAGGGGCAUACGGAAUUCCUGGUGUAUCGGUGAAAUGCGUAAAGAUCACGAACAACAUCGGUGGUGAAGGCGCUCUGCUGGACCAUUACUGACACUCAGGGACGAAAGCUAAGGGAGCUAAUGGGAUUAGAUACCCCAGUAGUCCUAGACGGAAACUAUGGAUACUAGAGUGUUGUCUGUAUCGCCCCGGCCAGUGCCGUAGUUAACGCGUUAAGUAUCCCCCCUGGGGAGUACGCACGCAAGUGUGAAACUCAAAGGAAUUGACGGGGGCCCGCACAAGCGGUGGAGUAUGUGGUUUAAUUGGAUGCAACGGGAAGACCCUUACCAGGACUUGACAUGUCGGGAAUCUUGUGGAAACACAAGAGUCCCUUGGGGAGCGGGAACCCAGGUGGUGCAUGGCUGUCGUCAGUUCGUGUCGUGAGAUGUUGGGUUAAGUCCCCCAACGAGCCCACCCCUCGUGUUUAGUUGCCAUCAUUAAGUUGGGCACUUUAACCAGACUGCCGGUGACAAACCGGAGGAAGGUGGGGAUGACGUCAAGUCACCAUCCCCCUUACGCCCUGGGCUCCCCACGUAUUCCAAUGGUAGGGACAGAGGGCAGCCAACCCGGGAGGGCGAGCUAAUCCCGCAAACCCUCCCUCAGUUCAGAUUGCAGGCUGCAACUCGCCUGCAUGAAGGCGGAAUCGCUAGUAUCGCAGUC
rnacentral:rRNA from 1 species